UACGAAGGGGGCUAGCGUUGCUCGGAAUCACUGGGCGUAAAGCGCACGUAGGCGGAUUGCUAAGUCAGGGUGAAAUCCUGGAGCUCAACUCCAGAACUGCCCUUGAUACUGGCGGUCUCGAGUCCGGGAGAGGUGAGUGGAACUGCGAGUGUAGAGGUGAAAUUCGUAGAUAUUCGCAAGAACACCAGUGGCGAAGGCGGCUCACUGGCCCGGUACUGACGCUGAGGCACGAAAGCGUGGGGAGCAAACAGG
rnacentral:rRNA from 1 species